UGGCUGAUCUUCCAGCACGAGGUACUGGCAGGCUUGUUCCGUGACCCGUUUCCGCUGGUUCUCCAUCACGGUGUCGUGUCCUCUCGGCCAUCUUUACCUACAUUCUCUUCACUGCAACUUAAAAACUACUCACACGAAUGACUGAAGUCCAGGAUGGAGGCUCCUUCCUCCAGAGGGUGUGGCCAUUCUGCAUCUCAGCUCAGUGAAUCAGGGAAGGAUUAGAUUCCCCAUCUUGGCCAGCCCUUGGGAUCGACUUCUAUCACCUCACUCCCACAAGCCUCUAAAAACCCAGCUGUUUGCAGUCAUUUCUUCCAAAGCAAGACCUUCAGCCAUGCACACUCAAGAAAUACUGGAUUAAACACAGAGCGGAGGUGUUACCUGGAGAGGCGUACACCCUGUCCCCAGCCCCCGAGGGCUGUCAUGGAGGAACGAGGCUGAGCAGGUCCAGAGCCAGCCAGGACCACGCAGGGAGCGACCAGGACCGGAAAGGGGGCACGUCCAGCUCUCCGUGGCAGUGCGGUCUCCUCAGUGGGAAAUGUCGCAGAGCCAUUCACAAGGCGGCACUGGGGGCUGGAGGGACUAGAUGUCUCAGAUGCUUAUGGUUUUAUGUUUUUAUGGUCCUUGCUCCUUGGGGUCACGUGUCUCCAGCCUCCUCUCAGGAGCUCAAGUCAACAUGUGCUCAAGCUGCCAGAGUUCAGGAUUUUAUUUUAAAACAAUAGUAAACAAUUUCAUUGAUUUUUCUUAAAUCAAA